GUCGAGGAUCUUUAGCAAUGCCCGAAAGGGUGACUAUGCGACGCCGCGUGCAGGAUGAAGGCCUUCGGGUUGUAAACUGCUGUCAGGGGGGAAGAAACCUUACGUAUAAAUAAUACGUAAGCUGACAUCACCCCCAAAGGAAGCCACGGCUAACUCUGUGCCAGCAGCCGCGGUAAGACAGAGGUGGCAAGCGUUGUUCGGAUUUAUUGGGUGUAAAGGGCAGGUAGGCGGUCGGGUAAGUCUGACGUGAAAUCCCAUGGCUCAACUGUGGAACUGCGUUGGAAACUGCCUGACUUGAGUAUCGGAGAGGUGUAGGGAAUUCUCGGUGUAAGGGUGAAAUCUGUAGAUAUCGAGAGGAACACCAGUGGCGAAGGCGCUACACUGGCCGAUUACUGACGCUGAGCUGCGAAAGCAAGGGGAGCAAACAGGAUUAGAAACCCUUGUAGUCC
rnacentral:rRNA from 1 species